UGGGGAAUUUUGGACAAUGGGGGCAACCCUGAUCCAGCCAUUCCGCGUGAGUGAAGAAGGCCUUCGGGUUGUAAAGCUCUUUUGUCCGGAACGAAACGGGUAGCGUGAAUAUCGCUGCCUACUGACGGUACCGGAAGAAUAAGCACCGGCUAACUACGUGCCAGCAGCCGCGGUAAUACGUAGGGUGCGAGCGUUAAUCGGAAUUACUGGGCGUAAAGCGUGCGCAGGCGGUUUUGUAAGCCAGAUGUGAAAGCCCCGGGCUUAACCUGGGAAUGGCAUUUGGGACUGCAAGGCUUGAGUGCGGCAGAGGAGACUGGAAUUCCCGGUGUAGCAGUGAAAUGCGUAGAUAUCGGGAGGAAUACCGAUGGCGAAGGCAGGUCUCUGGGCUGACACUGACGCUCAUGCACGAAAGCGUGGGGAGCAAACAGGAUUAGAUACCCUGGUAGUCCACGCCCUAAACGAUGUCGACUGGUUGUUGGGGGUUUGACGUACUCUCAGUAACGAAG
rnacentral:rRNA from 1 species